AGUGAACGCUGGCGGUAGGCCUAACACAUGCAAGUCGAACGGCAGCACAGUAAGAGCUUGCUCUUACGGGUGGCGAGUGGCGGACGGGUGAGGAAUACAUCGGAAUCUACUUUUUCGUGGGGGAUAACGUAGGGAAACUUACGCUAAUACCGCAUACGACCUACGGGUGAAAGCAGGGGAUCUUCGGACCUUUCGCGAUUGAAUGAGCCGAUGUCGGAUUAGCUAGUUGGCGGGGUAAAGGCCCACCAAGGCGACGAUCCGUAGCUGGUCUGAGAGGAUGAUCAGCCACACUGGAACUGAGACACGGUCCAGACUCCUACGGGAGGCAGCAGUGGGGAAUAUUGGACAAUGGGCGCAAGCCUGAUCCAGCCAUACCGCGUGGGUGAAGAAGUCCUUCGGGUUGUAAAGCCCUUUUGUUGGGAAAGAAAAGCAGCAGGUUAAUACCCCGCUGUUCUGACGGUACCCAAAGAAUAAGCACCGGCUAACUUCGUG
rnacentral:rRNA from 1 species